AACAACAACACGUCUGUUACGUUGAUAUAAUGGCGCUUUUAAUUUACGAAUAGCAAUAUCAUAUGUUGGGACUUAAAA